rnacentral:rRNA from 1 species
CUGGGAGGACCAUCUCCUAAGGCUAAAUACUCUCUAGUGACCGAUAGUGAACCAGUACCGUGAGGGAAAGGUGAAAAGCACCCCGGAAGGGGAGUGAAAUAGAACCUGAAACCGUGUGCUUACAAGUAGUCAGAGCCCGUUAAUGGGUGAUGGCGUGCCUUUUGUAGAAUGAACCGGCGAGUUACGAUUUGAUGCAAGGUUAAGCAGUAAAUGUGGAGCCGUAGCGAAAGCGAGUCUGAAUAGGGCGUUUAGUAUUUGGUCGUAGACCCGAAACCAGGUGAUCUACCCUUGGUCAGGUUGAAGUUCAGGUAACACUGAAUGGAGGACCGAACCGACUUACGUUGAAAAGUGAGCGGAUGAACUGAGGGUAGCGGAGAAAUUCCAAUCGAACCUGGAGAUAGCUGGUUCUCUCCGAAAUAGCUUUAGGGCUAGCCUCAAGUGAUGAUUAUUGGAGGUAGAGCACUGUUUGGACGAGGGGCCCCUCUCGGGUUACCGAAUUCAGACAAACUCCGAAUGCCAAUUAAUUUAACUUGGGAGUCAGAACAUGGGUGAUAAGGUCCGUGUUCGAAAGGGAAACAGCCCAGACCACCAGCUAAGGUCCCAAAAUAUAUGUUAAGUGGAAAAGGAUGUGGCGUUGCCCAGACAACUAGGAUGUUGGCUUAGAAGCAGCCAUCAUUUAAAGAGUGCGUAAUAGCUCACUAGUCGAGUGACACUGCGCCGAAAAUGUACCGGGGCUAAACAUAUUACCGAAGCUGUGGAUUGUCCUUUGGACAAUGGUAGGAGAGCGUUCUAAGGGCGUUGAAGCAUGAUCGUAAGGACAUGUGGAGCGCUUAGAAGUGAGAAUGCCGGUGUGAGUAGCGAAAGACGGGUGAGAAUCCCGUCCACCGAUUGACUAAGGUUUCCAGAGGAAGGCUCGUCCGCUCUGGGUUAGUCGGGUCCUAAGCUGAGGCCGACAGGCGUAGGCGAUGGAUAACAGGUUGAUAUUCCUGUACCACCUAUAAUCGUUUUAAUCGAUGGGGGGACGCAGUAGGAUAGGCGAAGCGUGCGAUUGGAUUGCACGUCUAAGCAGUAAGGCUGAGUAUUAGGCAAAUCCGGUACUCGUUAAGGCUGAGCUGUGAUGGGGAGAAGACAUUGUGUCUUCGAGUCGUUGAUUUCACACUGCCGAGAAAAGCCUCUAGAUAGAAAAUAGGUGCCCGUACCGCAAACCGACACAGGUAGUCAAGAUGAGAAUUCUAAGGUGAGCGAGCGAACUCUCGUUAAGGAACUCGGCAAAAUGACCCCGUAACUUCGGGAGAAGGGGUGCUCUUUAGGGUUAACGCCCAGAAGAGCCGCAGUGAAUAGGCCCAAGCGACUGUUUAUCAAAAACACAGGUCUCUGCUAAACCGUAAGGUGAUGUAUAGGGGCUGACGCCUGCCCGGUGCUGGAAGGUUAAGAGGAGUGGUUAGCUUCUGCGAAGCUACGAAUCGAAGCCCCAGUAAACGGCGGCCGUAACUAUAACGGUCCUAAGGUAGCGAAAUUCCUUGUCGGGUAAGUUCCGACCCGCACGAAAGGCGUAACGAUUUGGGCACUGUCUCAACGAGAGACUCGGUGAAAUCAUAGUACCUGUGAAGAUGCAGGUUACCCGCGACAGGACGGAAAGACCCCGUGGAGCUUUACUGUAGCCUGAUAUUGAAAUUCGGCACAGCUUGUACAGGAUAGGUAGGAGCCUUUGAAACGUGAGCGCUAGCUUACGUGGAGGCGCUGGUGGGAUACUACCCUAGCUGUGUUGGCUUUCUAACCCGCACCACUUAUCGUGGUGGGAGACAGUGUCAGGCGGGCAGUUUGACUGGGGCGGUCGCCUCCUAAAAGGUAACGGAGGCGCUCAAAGGUUCCCUCAGAAUGGUUGGAAAUCAUUCAUAGAGUGUAAAGGCAUAAGGGAGCUUGACUGCGAGACCUACAAGUCGAGCAGGGUCGAAAGACGGACUUAGUGAUCCGGUGGUUCCGCAUGGAAGGGCCAUCGCUCAACGGAUAAAAGCUACCCCGGGGAUAACAGGCUUAUCUCCCCCAAGAGUUCACAUCGACGGGGAGGUUUGGCACCUCGAUGUCGGCUCAUCGCAUCCUGGGGCUGUAGUCGGUCCCAAGGGUUGGGCUGUUCGCCCAUUAAAGCGGUACGCGAGCUGGGUUCAGA